GAUGAACGCUGGCGGCGUGCCUAAUACAUGCAAGUCGAGCGAACAGACGAGGAGCUUGCUCCUCUGACGUUAGCGGCGGACGGGUGAGUAACACGUGGAUAACCUACCUAUAAGACUGGGAUAACUUCGGGAAACCGGAGCUAAUACCGGAUAAUAUAUUUAACCGCAUGGUUCAAUAGUGAAAGACGGUUUUGCUGUCACUUAUAGAUGGAUCCGCGCCGCAUUAGCUAGUUGGUAAGGUAACGGCUUACCAAGGCGACGAUGCGUAGCCGACCUGAGAGGGUGAUCGGCCACACUGGAACUGAGACACGGUCCAGACUCCUACGGGAGGCAGAAGUAGGGAAUCUUCCGCAAUGGGCGAAAGCCUGACGGAGCAACGCCGCGUGAGUGAUGAAGGUCUUCGGAUCGUAAAACUCUGUUAUUAGGGAAGAACAAAUGUGUAAGUAACUAUGCACGUCUUGACGGUACCUAAUCAGAAAGCCACGGCUAACUACGUG
rnacentral:rRNA from 1 species